rnacentral:ncRNA from 2 species
GAACCAUCCAGAGCGGCCGAGAGACCUGGCUCGACGACGCCGCAGCAACCCCCCGUGACCGGGCGAGGGUGCUCAUGCCGGGAACGAUGGAGG